AUUGAACGCUAGCGGGAUGCUUUACACAUGCAAGUCGAACGGCAGCGCGGACUUCGGUCUGGCGGCGAGUGGCGAACGGGUGAGUAAUGUAUCGGAACGUGCCCAGUAGCGGGGGAUAACUACGCGAAAGCGUAGCUAAUACCGCAUACGCCCUACGGGGGAAAGCAGGGGAUCGUAAGACCUUGCACUAUUGGAGCGGCCGAUAUCGGAUUAGCUAGUUGGUGAGGUAACGGCUCACCAAGGCGACGAGCCGUAGCUGGUUUGAGAGGACGACCACCCACACGGGGACUGAGACACGGCCCACACCCCUACGGGAGGAGGAGGUGGGGAUUUUUGGACAAGGGGGCCACCCCUGACCCACCCACCCGGCGUGUGGAAGGAGGGCCUUCGGGUUUAAAAGCCUUUUGGGAGGGAAAGAAACGGGGCGGCCAAAUCCCCCGUGACACGGACGUUACCUAAAAAAUAAGCCCCGGCUAACUACGUG
rnacentral:rRNA from 1 species